GCUUACGGCCAUACCACCUGAACACGCCCGAUCUCGUCUGAUCUCGGAAGCUAAGCAGGGUCGGGCCUGGUCAGUACUUGGAUGGGAGACGCCUGGGAAUACCAGGUGCUGUAAGCU
rnacentral:rRNA from 1 species